rnacentral:piRNA from 1 species
UCCCAGCUGCAGUUAACCUGAGGAGUGGG